rnacentral:rRNA from 2 species
CUAAUACAUGCAAGUCGAACGAGUUCUGAUUAUUGAAAGGUGCUUGCAUCUUGAUUUAAUUUUGAACGAGUGGCGGACGGGUGAGUAACACGUGGGUAACCUGCCCUUAAGUGGGGGAUAACAUUUGGAAACAGAUGCUAAUACCGCAUAAAUCCAAGAACCGCAUGGUUCUUGGCUGAAAGAUGGCGUAAGCUAUCGCUUUUGGAUGGACCCGCGGCGUAUUAGCUAGUUGGUGAGGUAACGGCUCACCAAGGCAAUGAUACGUAGCCGAACUGAGAGGUUGAUCGGCCACAUUGGGACUGAGACACGGCCCAAACUCCUACGGGAGGCAGCAGUAGGGAAUCUUCCACAAUGGACGCAAGUCUGAUGGAGCAACGCCGCGUGAGUGAAGAAGGCUUUCGGGUCGUAAAACUCUGUUGUUGGAGAAGAAUGGUCGGCAGAGUAACUGUUGUCGGCGUGACGGUAUCCAACCAGAAAGCCACGGCUAACUACGUGCCAGCAGCCGCGGUAAUACGUAGGUGGCAAGCGUUAUCCGGAUUUAUUGGGCGUAAAGCGAGCGCAGGCGGUUUUUUAAGUCUGAUGUGAAAGCCCUCGGCUUAACCGAGGAAGUGCAUCGGAAACUGGGAAACUUGAGUGCAGAAGAGGACAGUGGAACUCCAUGUGUAGCGGUGAAAUGCGUAGAUAUAUGGAAGAACACCAGUGGCGAAGGCGGCUGUCUGGUCUGUAACUGACGCUGAGGCUCGAAAGCAUGGGUAGCGAACAGGAUUAGAUACCCUGGUAGUCCAUGCCGUAAACGAUGAAUGCUAGGUGUUGGAGGGUUUCCGCCCUUCAGUGCCGCAGCUAACGCAUUAAGCAUUCCGCCUGGGGAGUACGACCGCAAGGUUGAAACUCAAAGGAAUUGACGGGGGCCCGCACAAGCGGUGGAGCAUGUGGUUUAAUUCGAAGCAACGCGAAGAACCUUACCAGGUCUUGACAUCUUUUGAUCACCUGAGAGAUCAGGUUUCCCCUUCGGGGGCAAAAUGACAGGUGGUGCAUGGUUGUCGUCAGCUCGUGUCGUGAGAUGUUGGGUUAAGUCCCGCAACGAGCGCAACCCUUAUGACUAGUUGCCAGCAUUUAGUUGGGCACUCUAGUAAGACUGCCGGUGACAAACCGGAGGAAGGUGGGGAUGACGUCAAAUCAUCAUGCCCCUUAUGACCUGGGCUACACACGUGCUACAAUGGAUGGUACAACGAGUUGCGAGACCGCGAGGUCAAGCUAAUCUCUUAAAGCCAUUCUCAGUUCGGACUGUAGGCUGCAACUCGCCUACACGAAGUCGGAAUCGCUAGUAAUCGCGGAUCAGCACGCCGCGGUGAAUACGUUCCCGGGCCUUGUACACACCGCCCGUCACACCAUGAGAGUUUGUAACACCCGAAGCCGGUGGCGUAACCCUUUUAGGGAGCGAGCCGUCUAAG